rnacentral:siRNA from 1 species
UACGGCUGAGUUACGGUAUGUUGC